rnacentral:rRNA from 1 species
UGGGGAAUAUUGGACAAUGGGCGAAAGCCUGAUCCAGCCAUGCCGCGUGUGUGAAGAAGGUCUUCGGAUUGUAAAGCACUUUAAGUUGGGAGGAAGGGCAGUAAGCGAAUACAUUGCUGUUUUGACGUUACCGACAGAAUAAGCACCGGCUAACUCUGUGCCAGCAGCCGCGGUAAUACAGAGGGUGCAAGCGUUAAUCGGAAUUACUGGGCGUAAAGCGCGCGUAGGUGGUUCGUUAAGUUGAAUGUGAAAGCCCCGGGCUCAACCUGGGAACUGCAUCCAAAACUGGCGAGCUAGAGUAGGGCAGAGGGUGGUGGAAUUUCCUGUGUAGCGGUGAAAUGCGUAGAUAUAGGAAGGAACACCAGUGGCGAAGGCGACCACCUGGGCUCAUACUGACACUGAGGUGCGAAAGCGUGGGGAGCAAACAGG